rnacentral:rRNA from 1 species
GUGCACGCUGGCGGUAGGCCUCACCCCUGCAAGUCGCACGGCAGCACAGUAAGAGCUUGCUCUUACGGGUGGCGAGUGGCGGACGGGUGAGGAAUACAUCGGAAUCUACUUUUUCGUGGGGGAUAACGUAGGGAAACUUACGCUAAUACCGCAUACGACCUACGGGUGAAAGCAGGGGAUCUUCGGACCUUGCGCGAUUGAAUGAGCCGAUGUCGGAUUAGCUAGUUGGCGGGGUAAAGGCCCACCAAGGCGACGAUCCGUAGCUGGUCUGAGAGGAUGAUCAGCCACACUGGAACUGAGACACGGUCCAGACUCCUACGGGAGGCAGCAGUGGGGAAUAUUGGACAAUGGGCGCAAGCCUGAUCCAGCCAUACCGCGUGGGUGAAGAAGGCCUUCGGGUUGUAAAGCCCUUUUGUUGGGAAAGAAAAGCAGCAGGUUAAUACCCCGCUGUUCUGACGGUACCCAAAGAAUAAGCACCGGCUAACUUCGUG